rnacentral:rRNA from 1 species
AGAGUUUGAUCCUGGCUCAGAACGAACGCUGGCGGCGUGCCUGAGACAUGCAAGUCGUGGGAGAAAGUCGUAGCAAUACGGCAAGUAAACCGGCGCACGGGUGAGUAACACGUGGAUAACCUGCCUUAGAGUCUGGGAUAACCCGUCGAAAGACGAGCUAAUACCGGAUAAGACCACGGGAAGUUCGCUUCCUGAGGUAAAAGAUGGCCUCUGCUCCUGCAAGCUAUCACUUUGAGAGGGGUCCGCGUCCUAUCAGCUAGUUGGCGAGGUAACGGCUCACCAAGGCUAAGACGGGUAGCUGGUCUGAGAGGAUGGUCAGCCACACUGGGACUGAGACACGGCCCAGAGUCCUACGGGAUGCAGCAGUCAGGAAUAUUGCGCAAUGGAGGAAACUCUGACGCAGCGACGCCGCGUGGGUGAUGAAGGCCUUCGGGUCGUAAAGCCCUGU